GCCCGCGUUCCUUACCGAGAGCCGCCGGCGCCGUCGCCUUCCCGGCGCCGCCCCCGCCCCUCCGCGCGGGGCCGGGGGCAGAGUGGGCGUCUCGCCUCUCCUCACGAAACAAAGGCCGCCGCCGCCGCCGAGUGAGGCAUUACUUUACAGUAGAGAACACGUGGAAGUGAUGCAAGUGUCCAUCAACAGAUGAAUAGAUAACGUGAUGAAUACACACAAUGGAAUAUUAUUCAGCUUCAAAGAGGAAAGAAGUUCUGAUGCCUGGUACAACAUGGAUGAACCCUGAGAACAUUAUGCUGCGUGAAAUAAACCAGACUAAAAGGACAAGUAUUGUUUGAUUCCACUUAUACAAGGCUAAAGCACAUGGUCUCACUUAACUCAUGUCACCUAACAGAGUCUCUUGCCUCCUGGCCCUUGUAUCCUCUUGUGUAACUAACUAACCCGGAAGCCCUAGGAUGAUGUGCUCCACAGAGGUGAACUAUGUAGAAGCCAUUGCCAGGACAAGGAGGACCAAUGGUUAAGACCUUGGGUUGAACCAGACUGCUUGGGCCUGAAUGCAGGUCCUGCCACUUUCCUGUAAGAUGGGAACAAGGGAACAGCAAGAGUAUCUGUAUGAACAAAAUGGAAAUAUUAAUAAAGAGUUAGAAAACCUUGGGACACCUUGGCUCAGUCAGUUAAGUGUCUGCCUUUGGCUUGGGUCAUGGUCCCAGGGUCCUGAGAUCGAGCUCUACAGUGGGCUCCCUGCUCGGUGGGGAACCUACUUCUCUGUCUGCCUGU